UGAGGAAUAUUGGGCAAUGGGCGAAAGCCUGACCCAGCCACGCCGCGUGAGUGAUGAAGGCCUUCGGGUCGUAAAGCUCUGUGGGGAGGGACGAAAAAGCGCAGUAGGAAAUGACUGCGCCUUGACGGUACCUCCUUAGCAAGCACCGGCUAACUCUGUGCCAGCAGCCGCGGUAAUACAGAGGGUGCGAACGUUGCUCGGAUUUACUGGGCGUAAAGCGCGUGUAGGCGCGAAUG
rnacentral:rRNA from 1 species